AUUUGUAGCCCACCUACCGCAGGUACACUUCGGCCUUUUCUGGUGAUCGUACACGUACAGGAAUGAAUGGUUCAUUACUAUAGGCAUGCUAUAUAUUUAUACAAUUUUCAUGCCAUUCAUUGCAAUGGUCGUUAGAGUAUGUCAUCAAUUAACAAAAUAGGGUUACAUAAAUGAUAAUAGUGGAUCUUAAUGUAAUUCAGCAAAUGAAUAUCCUUUAAUGUGUCAAGGAGAAUCUGAAAACUUUUACGUAAUGGUUUACGCGAAACAACCUGUAUACUCUUGCCUCCAAACUUUGUCGGAAAACGGCUGGAAUCUCGGAUCGACCGGGAGAGGAAAUUUUCUUGUAUAUUUUGGGCUGUGUAAUCUAAAAUUUUCGUGAUUUUGCGACUACAUUAAAAGUUACAAACAAAAUUCAAUUUGCCGUUUCUUUAAAUCGGUUUUUUGUCCAUUUUGUGCGUUUCAGUAGCAAUAUAAUGUUUGCUUCACAACUUUAAUUUAAAUAAAUUAAAUAAUCUGAUGUGGUGACACGUUUAGUGAAAACCACUUCGUUCCCCAGUUCCUAAGAGUGGAUGUUUUUUGGUGCACCAUCCUGUAUGUAAGGAUAAUUAGGCACGUGUUCGGGUGACCUGUUUAUCACCAUUACAGUUAUGAUUAUGUAUGUACGAGUAGGUACUUAUAUUAGUCAUUUGCGAAUGAAUCGUCAGUAAGUGCGGCUGCAUGUGCUGCGUUCGUAUGAAACUUGUUUAUAUUCCACGUGUAAAGGGCCAAGAUGCCUGAGAUGGGGUGGUAGGCCAUCGAAUCGAUCCCGGUGCCACUUUCCAGUCGUUAGAAAAGGUUGUCAUAUGGAGGUUUCUAAUUCAAAAUGGAGUUGCUCAAAUACACAGGGGAACCCGACCUUCAUCAUAUCAGUCCCGAUAGCCGCCACAAGUUACGUGGUAAAUGACGGUUUGUGGGCGAUCAAUCCAUAUGGCAAAAGACUGCAAGUACCGCGACUAUUCUUGUGAUCGUUGCAAUAAGAAAGGACAUCUGGCACCCGUUUGUCCAGUAAAAUCAUCUUCGCAACAUCCACCAGGGUCGUCUCACCGCAAGUCUGAAAGUAAGCCGGUCUUAAGCAACCGAAGGAACUAGUCAACUCUGCAGUUGUCAACAAAGACCAACAUUCUUAGGGGUGAGUACUAUUUACCAUCACCACUUCGAAUUCGGCGCUGUCAUCAUCAUUCCGGUCCAUCCGUCAUCGAGGAUUACUCUAAGGUAGCUACUAGUAGUCAAUCAAAGUGACUAUGGUGUUUCACUAAGUACUAGUAGCUUCAAUUGAGAACAAAAUAUACGUACCUAUCAAGUUAUUUAUUUUUUAAGUUAUCACUGUUACAAGAAGAUCUUUGUAAUACAAAAAAAGAAACUUAUUACAUUUGUUCAUCUCUAGAAUAAUAUUGUACUGCCCUAACUGCACUUUGCUGGCAGCUGGCACUAGUUCAACACAAGACAGUCUCCCCCAGCAAAAAAACAAUGAAAACUAUUAAAGUAAACGAAAUUUUUUUAAUUAAAAAGAGAAUCUAUAUUUAAACUUUAUUAAA